AAUUUGCUAACGGAGCAUGGCCCAAUAGCUGUACCUCAAAGGACCCUUACUGGCUUACUGACUGGCUUUUAGGGAAACAAAGAUGUGGACUGGAGGUAAGGUGUGUGUGCAUGCUUGUGAGAUCUACCUGGGAGAGGAGGGGUGGUGCCGUGCUCUCAAAAGGAGGAUAAAGCGAUGAGAGCGCCCCCUGCACACAAUCCUCCAUUGCCUCCGAACCCUGAGAGAGACAAAGAUGGUCCAAUGUGGAAAAUGCGGCAUCACUGAAACCAC